rnacentral:piRNA from 1 species
UGGGUAAAUGGCUCAGUAAGGUGUUUGCC